rnacentral:tRNA from 7 species
AAGAAAGUGGCAGAGUGGUUAUGUGGCUGGCUUGAAACCGGCAAAUGGGGGUUCAAUUCCUUCCUUUCUUG